CUAACUCCUCCUCCUCUCUCACUUCAUCAUGCAAUACCAACAUCUCAGCAGACGACAGCAACACAGUCUGCUGUGGAUUGUUUCUUUGCAGGAAAUAUUCUCGACUCGGUUCCGGACACCAUUUGUAACUGUUUUCUCUUCUGUUACCCAAACACUUCCAAAUGCGGACUUAACUGUCGCUUGUGCGCUUCUAUAUGGCACAUAAGAUUGUGGUUAUUUCUCCGCCAGGUAGAAAAUAGGAAAUUGCUUGUAUAACAAGUAUUCACAAACGUCAGAAACUGUAAAGGAGUGCAAAGAAAAAUGCGUGGAUCCAACGGAACUUGAACACAAGACCAGAAAGGGGAUUGAAAUGUUAGCGUGACAAUGAUUUG